AAAAAGGCAAACCAUAUGUUUCCGUGUCCAACUUUGACUGUCUGUCUUAUAUGAAAUUUUUUUAUAAUUCAUAUUUUUAUUGUUGUUAGAUGAUAAAACAUGAUUAAUACUUUGUGCGUGACUUGUCUUUUUAAUUUUUUCAUAUUUUUUUUUAAAUAAGACGGACAGUCAAACGUUGGACACGAAAACCAGGGUUUGUCUUUUU
rfam:Oryza glumipatula chromosome 11, whole genome shotgun sequence.